AGCCAGGCUCCGUGCAACAGGGCCCCGUGAACCCCGCCAGGUCCGGAAGGAAGCAACGGUAGCGGAUUGCUCCGUGUGCCCCGGAAUGACCUGGUUCCC
rfam:Leptospirillum ferriphilum ML-04, complete genome.